AGCGCAACAUCAAGAGUCACGGUACUUUAGGGAUGUGGCAGCAAUCUCGACAGCUAAAAAUGCCCCAUGAAAUUCUUAAAGUUUGUCUUUUAUGAGGACUGAAAGCGAAGAAUAAAUUAAAACGCAAGAGGGGGGGAAACAAAUCGCGCGGAGGUGCAUCAGCCGCUGCAGACAUUUCCAGCAGUGCCUGCCCGCCUGCCUGGGCUCUGUCGUUCGGGAUCGCGAAGCGCGUCGGAGUCGGUGUCCGAGCCAAUCUAACCGUCAGGAGACAAGAGAGAGAAAGAGAACGAAAGAGGAAGCUGUCCAUUCGUUCAGAUACCCCCGCUGACACCUGCGUUUGGACCCCCGCAGUGUCUGAUGUGGAGCUGAAACACUGCAGUGAGCCUGGACACAUGAAGCUCAAGUUCCUACAGAUCUUAAUGGAAUGCAGCCAGAUAAAUUAUUAAUGUCAAGGUAGAGUUUGAACGUCAUCCUCUGAAGCCUGAAGCUAAUCCUGGAAGACCCCUGCCACUUUGAUGUGUGAGCAAACCCACCAAUAAUGGCCCAUAGGAUAUGCAGUGGAAAUACAGCUGAGGCAGAUGUGUUCAUGUAUCCCGUCCAGGUCAACCUGCAGACUUUCUCCCACAAACACAUCUGACUUUCAUAAG